AUUGAACGCUGGCGGCAGGCUUAACACAUGCAAGUCGAGCGGGGGAAGGUAGCUUGCUACUGGACCUAGCGGCGGACGGGUGAGUAAUGCUUAGGAAUCUGCCUAUUAGUGGGGACAACAUCUCGAAUGGGAUGCUAAUACCCAUACGUCCUAUGGGAGAAAGCAGGGGAUCUUCGGAUCUUGCGCUAAUAGAUGAGCCUAAGUCGGCAUAGCUAGUUGGUGGGGUAAAGGCCUACCAAGGCGACGAUCUGUAGCGUGUCUGAGGGGUUGAUCCGCCACACUGGGACUGAGACACGGCCCAGACUCCUACGGGAGGCAGCAGUGGGGAAUAUUGGACAAUGGGGGGAACCCUGAUCCAGCCAUGCCGCGUGUGUGAAGAAGGCCUUAUGGUUGUAAAGCACUUUAAGCGAGGAGGAGGCUACUCUAGUUAAUACCUAGGGAUAGUGGACGUUACUCGCAGAAUAAGCACCGGCUAACUCUGUGCCAGCCGCCGCCGUAA
rnacentral:rRNA from 1 species